rnacentral:rRNA from 1 species
UUCAGACGAUGCGUCAUGCAUAUCAAUAAGCGGAGGAAAAGAAACUAACAAGGAUUCCCCUAGUAACGGCGAGUGAAGCGGGAAGAGCUCAAAUUUGAAAUCUUAAAGGGUUUCCCUUUACGAAUUGUAGUUUAAAGAAGUGUUUUUCUGUUGAGGUUUUGGUAAAAGUUCUUUGGAAUAGGACAUCAUAGAGGGUGAGAAUCCCGUAUUUGACCUUUACUUUCAACUUUGUGAUACACUUUCAAAGAGUCGGAUUGUUUGGGAAUGCAGUCCAAAAUGGGUGGUAAAUUUCAUCUAAAGCUAAAUAUUGGCGAGAGACCGAUAGCGAACAAGUACCGUGAGGGAAAGAUGAAAAGAACUUUGAAAAGAGAGUUAAACAGUACGUGAAAUUGUCAAAAGGGAAGGCGUUUGACACCAGUGUUGUUUUUCUGAAAAUCAAUUAAAGAACUGUUUAUGCUAAGCUGUUUAGACUUUAUCAGCUAUCUGUUUAGUUUUGAGCUUUUCUUUAAUGCACUUUUCAGUUAACAAGUCAACAUCAAUUUCUUUUGCUGUAAAAAAGCUUGAGGAAGGUGGCUUGAGAUUCGUCUUAAGUGUUUAUAGCCUCUUGCCUAUGCAGUCGGAGAGAUUGAGGUCUGCAGCGUAGAUCCUUCGGGGCUAAAUGCAUUUGUGCUAAGUUAUAGCAUUUUAUAGACAACUUGUUGACUAUGAUUUGUCUUGUAGCUUACUCGCUUAUGUUAUUUUACCUACGCUUAGGAUGUUGACACACGCGCGUGCUCG